UACGUAGGGUGCGAGCGUUGUCCGGAAUUAUUGGGCGUAAAGAGCUCGUAGGCGGCUUGUCGCGUCGGCUGUGAAAGCCCGGGGCUUAACUCCGGGUCUGCAUUCGAUACGGGCAGGCUAGAGUUCGGUAGGGGAGAUCGGAAUUCCUGGUGUAGCGGUGAAAUGCGCAGAUAUCAGGAGGAACGCCGGUGGCGAAGGCGGAUCUCUGGGCCGAUACUGACGCUGAGGAGCGAAAGCGUGGGGAGCGAACAGG
rnacentral:rRNA from 1 species